rnacentral:rRNA from 2 species
UACGUAGGGGGCAAGCGUUGUCCGGAAUUAUUGGGCGUAAAGCGCGCGCAGGCGGUCAUGUAAGUCUGGUGUUUAAUCCCGGGGCUCAACCCCGGAUCGCACUGGAAACUGUGUGACUUGAGUGCAGAAGAGGAGAGUGGAAUUCCACGUGUAGCGGUGAAAUGCGUAGAGAUGUGGAGGAACACCAGUGGCGAAGGCGACUCUCUGGGCUGUAACUGACGCUGAGGCGCGAAAGCGUGGGGAGCAAACAGG